rnacentral:rRNA from 1 species
GAUCCUGGCUCAGGAUGAACGCUAGCUACAGGCUUAACACAUGCAAGUCGAGGGGCAGCAUUUCAGUUUGCUUGCAAACUGGAGAUGGCGACCGGCGCACGGGUGAGUAACACGUAUCCAACCUGCCGAUAACUCGGGGAUAGCCUUUCGAAAGAAAGAUUAAUACCCGAUGGUAUAAUCAGACCGCAUGGUCUUGUUAUUAAAGAAUUUCGGUUAUCGAUGGGUAGUNGUCU